GGUUAUAGUUCAGUGGUAGAAUGCUUGCCUCACACAUGUGAGGCACUGGGUUCAAUCCUCAGCACCA
rnacentral:tRNA from 1 species